CGGGUGGGAACCCACGGCGAAUGGUUCAUCAAGUCUUCAAAAAAGAAUAUAUACGAUUGCAUUGCAUAUACUAACGGAUGCGAUCAUACCAGCACUAAUGCACCGGAUCCCAUCAGAACUCCGCAGUCAAGCGUGCUUGGGCGAGAGUAGUACUAGGAUGGGUGACCUCCCGGGAAGUCCUCGUGUUGCAUCCCUC
rnacentral:rRNA from 1 species